GUGCCAGCAGCCGCGGUAAUACAGAGGCCUCGAGCGUUGCGCGGAAUCACUGGGCUUAAAGGGUGCGUAGGCGGAUACACAAGUGCCUUGUGAAAUCCCCGGGCUCAACCCGGGAACUGCUUGGUAGACUGUGUGUCUUGAGGUCGGUAGGGGUCGCUGGAACAGUUGGUGGAGCGGUGAAAUGCGUAGAUAUCAACUGGAACGCCAAAGGCGAAGGCAAGCGACUGGGCCGAUUCUGACGCUGAGGCACGAAAGCGUGGGGAGCAAACGGGAUUAGAUACCCGCGUAGUCC
rnacentral:rRNA from 1 species